rnacentral:tRNA from 1 species
UCCUAGGUGGCUCAGUGGUAAAGAAUCUGCCUGCCAGGCAGGAGACUUGGGUUCAAUCCCUAGAUUAGGAA